rnacentral:rRNA from 1 species
GAUGAACGCUGGCGGCGUGCCUAAUACAUGCAAGUCGAGCGAAUGGAUUAAGAGCUUGCUCUUAUAAAGUUAGCGGCGGACGGGUGAGUAACACGUGGGUAACCUGCCCAUAAGACUGGGAUAACUCCGGGAAACCGGGGCUAAUACCGGAUAACAUUUUGAACCGCAUGGUUCGAAAUUGAAAGGCGGCUUCGGCUGUCACUUAUGGAUGGACCCGCGUCGCAUUAGCUAGUUGGUGAGGUAACGGCUCACCAAGGCAACGAUGCGUAGCCGACCUGAGAGGGUGAUCGGCCACACUGGGACUGAGACACGGCCCAGACUCCUACGGGAGGCAGCAGUAGGGAAUCUUCCGCAAUGGAUGAAAGUCUGACGGAGCAACGCCGCGUGAGUGAUGAAGGCUUUCGGGUCGUAAAACUCUGUUGUUAGGGAAGAACAAGUGGUAGUUGAAUAAGCAGGCACCUUGACGGUACCUAACCAGAAAGCCACGGCUAACUACGUGCCAGCAGCCGCUGUAA